rnacentral:piRNA from 1 species
UACCUGGCUUUUAAUGUGGAUAUUAGGUAU